rnacentral:rRNA from 1 species
GACGAACGCUGGCGGCGCGCUUAACACAUGCAAGUCGAGCGAGAACCGAGGCUUCGGCCUCGGGGAAAGCGGCGAACGGGUGAGUAACACGUGGGCAACCUGCCCUCGGCACCGGGAUAGCCCGGGGAAACCCGGAUUAAUACCGGACAGCCUCCGGAGCCUGCGGGCGCCGGAGAAAAGGUGGCUUCGGCUUCCGGCUGAGGGGGGGCCUGCGGCGGAUUAGCUUGGUGGUGAGGUAACGGCUCACCAAGGCGACGAUCCGUAGCCGGUCUGAGAGGGCGAGCAGCCACGAUGGGACGGAGACACGGCGCAGACUCCUACGGGAGGAAGCAGUGGGGAAUCGUGCGCAAUGGGCGAAAGCCUGACGCAGCGACGCCGCGUGCGGGAAGAAGGCCUUCGGGUUGUAAACCGCUUUCAGGAGGGACGAAGCCACUCGGGUUAAUAGCCCAGAGGGUGACGGUACUUCCAGAAGAAGCCCCGGCUAACUACGUGCCAGCCGCCGCAGUAACAC